UACGUAGGGGGCAAGCGUUGUCCGGAUUUAUUGGGCGUAAAGAGCGUGUAGGCGGCCAGGUAGGUCCGCUGUGAAAACUCGAGGCUUAACCUCGAGAUGUCGGUGGAAACCAUCUGGCUAGAGUCCGGAAGAGGAGAGUGGAAUUCCUGGUGUAGCGGUGAAAUGCGCAGAUAUCAGGAAGAACACCCGUGGCGAAGGCGGCUCUCUGGGACGGUACUGACGCUGAGACGCGAAAGCGUGGGGAGCGAACAGG
rnacentral:rRNA from 1 species